GACGAACGCUGGCGGCGUGCUUAACACAUGCAAGUCGAACGGAAAGGCCCUGCUUGCAGGGUACUCGAGUGGCGAACGGGUGAGUAACACGUGGGUGAUCUGCCCUGCACUUCGGGAUAAGCCUGGGAAACUGGGUCUAAUACCGGAUAGGAGCCAUUUUUAGUGUGAUGGUUGGAAAGUUUUUUCGGUGUAGGAUGAGCUCGCGGCCUAUCAGCUUGUUGGUGGGGUAAUGGCCUACCAAGGCGGCGACGGGUAGCCGGCCUGAGAGGGUGGACGGCCACAUUGGGACUUGGAUACGGCCCAGACUCCUACGGGAGGCAGCAGUGGGGAAUAUUGCACAAUGGGCGCAAGCCUGAUGCAGCGACGCCGCGUGGGGGAUGACGGCCUUCGGGUUGUAAACUCCUUUCGCUAGGGACGAAGCUUUUUGUGACGGUACCUAGAUAAGAAGCACCGGCUAACUACGUG
rnacentral:rRNA from 1 species